AGAGUUUGAUCCUGGCUCAGGAUGAACGCUGGCGGCGUGCUUAACACAUGCAAGUCGAACGAUGAAGCCCAGCUUGCUGGGUGGAUUAGUGGCGAACGGGUGAGUAACACGUGAGUAACCUGCCCUUAACUCUGGGAUAAGCCUGGGAAACUGGGUCUAAUACCGGAUAGGAGCGUCCACCGCAUGGUGGGUGUUGGAAAGAUUUAUCGGUUUUGGAUGGACUCGCGGCCUAUCAGCUUGUUGGUGAGGUAAUGGCUCACCAAGGCGACGACGGGUAGCCGGCCUGAGAGGGUGACCGGCCACACUGGGACUGAGACACGGCCCAGACUCCUACGGGAGGCAGCAGUGGGGAAUAUUGCACAAUGGGCGAAAGCCUGAUGCAGCGACGCCGCGUGAGGGAUGACGGCCUUCGGGUUGUAAACCUCUUUCAGUAGGGAAGAAGCGAAAGUGACGGUACCUGCAGAAGAAGCACCGGCUAACUACGUGCCAGCAGCCGCGGUAAUACGUAGGGUGCGAGCGUUAUCCGGAAUUAUUGGGCGUAAAGAGCUCGUAGGCGGUUUGUCGCGUCUGUCGUGAAAGUCCGGGGCUUAACCCCGGAUCUGCGGUGGGUACGGGCAGACUAGAGUGCAGUAGGGGAGACUGGAAUUCCUGGUGUAGCGGUGGAAUGCGCAGAUAUCAGGAGGAACACCGAUGGCGAAGGCAGGUCUCUGGGCUGUAACUGACGCUGAGGAGCGAAAGCAUGGGGAGCGAACAGGAUUAGAUACCCUGGUAGUCCAUGCCGUAAACGUUGGGCACUAGGUGUGGGGACCAUUCCACGGUUUCCGCGCCGCAGCUAACGCAUUAAGUGCCCCGCCUGGGGAGUACGGCCGCAAGGCUAAAACUCAAAGGAAUUGACGGGGGCCCGCACAAGCGGCGGAGCAUGCGGAUUAAUUCGAUGCAACGCGAAGAACCUUACCAAGGCUUGACAUGUUCCCGAUCGCCGUAGAGAUACGAUUUCCCCUUUGGGGCGGGUUCACAGGUGGUGCAUGGUUGUCGUCAGCUCGUGUCGUGAGAUGUUGGGUUAAGUCCCGCAACGAGCGCAACCCUCGUUCCAUGUUGCCAGCACGUAAUGGUGGGGACUCAUGGGAGACUGCCGGGGUCAACUCGGAGGAAGGUGAGGACGACGUCAAAUCAUCAUGCCCCUUAUGUCUUGGGCUUCACGCAUGCUACAAUGGCCGGUACAAUGGGU
rnacentral:rRNA from 1 species